GGGUUGUGAGGUUAAGCGACUAAGCGUACACGGUGGAUGCCUAGGCAGUCAGAGGCGAUGAAGGGCGUGCUAAUCUGCGAAAAGCGUCGGUAAGCUGAUAUGAAGCGUUAUAACCGACGAUACCCGAAUGGGGAAACCCAGUGCAAUACGUUGCACUAUCGUUAGAUGAAUACAUAGUCUAACGAGGCGAACCGGGGGAACUGAAACAUCUAAGUACCCCGAGGAAAAGAAAUCAACCGAGAUUCCCCCAGUAGCGGCGAGCGAACGGGGAGGAGCCCAGAGUCUGAAUCAGUUUGUGUGUUAGUGGAAGCGUCUGGAAAGUCGCACGGUACAGGGUGAUAGUCCCGUACACCAAAAUGCACAGGCUGUGAACUCGAUGAGUAGGGCGGGACACGUGACAUCCUGUCUGAAUAUGGGGGGACCAUCCUCCAAGGCUAAAUACUCCUGACUGACCGAUAGUGAACCAGUACCGUGAGGGAAAGGCGAAAAGAACCCCGGCGAGGGGAGUGAAAUAGAACCUGAAACCGUGUACGUACAAGCAGUGGGAGCACCUUCGUGGUGUGACUGCGUACCUUUUGUAUAAUGGGUCAGCGACUUAUAUUUUGUAGCAAGGUUAACCGAAUAGGGGAGCCGUAGGGAAACCGAGUCUUAACUGGGCGUCUAGUUGCAAGGUAUAGACCCGAAACCCGGUGAUCUAGCCAUGGGCAGGUUGAAGGUUGGGUAACACUAACUGGAGGACCGAACCGACUAAUGUUGAAAAAUUAGCGGAUGACUUGUGGCUGGGGGUGAAAGGCCAAUCAAACCGGGAGAUAGCUGGUUCUCCCCGAAAGCUAUUUAGGUAGCGCCUCGUGAACUCAUCUUCGGGGGUAGAGCACUGUUUCGGCUAGGGGGCCAUCCCGGCUUACCAAACCGAUGCAAACUCCGAAUACCGAAGAAUGUUAUCACGGGAGACACACGGCGGGUGCUAACGUCCGUCGUGAAGAGGGAAACAACCCAGACCGCCAGCUAAGGUCCCAAAGUCAUGGUUAAGUGGGAAACGAUGUGGGAAGGCACAGACAGCCAGGAUGUUGGCUUAGAAGCAGCCAUCAUUUAAAGAAAGCGUAAUAGCUCACUGGUCGAGUCGGCCUGCGCGGAAGAUGUAACGGGGCUAAACCAUGCACCGAAGCUGCGGCAGCGACACUUAGGUGUUGUUGGGUAGGGGAGCGUUCUGUAAGCCGUUGAAGGUGACCUGUGAGGGUUGCUGGAGGUAUCAGAAGUGCGAAUGCUGACAUAAGUAACGAUAAUGCGGGUGAAAAACCCGCACGCCGGAAGACCAAGGGUUCCUGUCCAACGUUAAUCGGGGCAGGGUGAGUCGACCCCUAAGGCGAGGCUGAAAAGCGUAGUCGAUGGGAAACAGGUUAAUAUUCCUGUACUUGGUGUUACUGCGAAGGGGGGACGGAGAAGGCUAGGCUGGCCGGGCGACGGUUGUCCCGGUUUAAGCGUGUAGGGGGAGUGACCAGGUAAAUCCGGUUGCUUAUCAACCCUGAGGCGUGAUGACGAUGCACCACGGUGCAGAAGCAGUUGAUGCCAUGCUUCCAGGAAAAGCCUCUAAGCAUCAGGUAACAUUAAAUCGUACCCCAAACCGACACAGGUGGUCAGGUAGAGAAUACUCAGGCGCUUGAGAGAACUCGGGUGAAGGAACUAGGCAAAAUGGUGCCGUAACUUCGGGAGAAGGCACGCUGGCGUUAGGUGAAAGGACUAGCUCCUGGAGCUGAAGCCAGUCGCAGAUACCAGCUGGCUGCAACUGUUUAAUAAAAACACAGCACUGUGCAAACACGAAAGUGGACGUAUA
rnacentral:rRNA from 1 species